AACGUCAGCUUUCUCUCUCCUUUUUGCCCCAAACCCAUCAAUGCGCACACCGCCAGCCAUAGAUCGGCAAAAUUUUCAAAUUGCUGCUGCUAGUUAAUGGAGUCGAAGCCUGAUUCAGCAGGGCCGCAAUUAAGCAAACAGUUUCCGAAGAAGUUCUGCAUCUUGAACUUAGUACUUCAAUCAGAUUCUGACAGUUGUGCUUGAGGUGCUGGAUGAUUCAGAUUCCUCAAUCAAAGAGCUUGCUCUUUCAAUGCUUGUUGAAAUGCUUAAAAUCCAGAAAGACGCCAUGGAAAGUUCAGUCGAAAUUGUUAUUGAAAAGCUGCUUAAUGUAACAAAGGAUAGAGUUCCUAUGGUAUCCAGCAUUGUGAUAUUCUUGUUUGUCUUCUUGUUAAUUCUUCUCCUAAUUUCAGCAAAUUUCGUCCUGUUUUCAGGUCUCAAAUAAAGCAGAGCACUGCCUGAAUAU